rnacentral:rRNA from 1 species
GACGAACGCUGGCGGCGUGCUUAACACAUGCAAGUCGAGCGGCGCGGCGAACGGGUGAGUAACGCGUGAGUAACUGCCUCCCCCGCUGGGAUAACAGUUGGAAAUGGCUGCGAAUACCGGCCAGUGGGGGAUGACCCGCGGCCUAUGAGCUUGUUGGUGGGGUAGUGGCCUACCAAGGCGGCGACGGGUAGCCGGCCUGAGAGGGGGGCCGGCCACAUUGGGCUGAUAUACGGCCCAGACUGCUACGGGAGGCAGCAGUGGGGAAUAUGGCACAAUGGGGGGAACCCUGAUGCAGCAACGCCGCGUGCGGGAUGACGGCCUUCGGGUUGUAAACCGCUUUCAGCGAUGACGCGGUAGUUGCAGAAGAAGCACCGGCUAACUACGUGCCAGCCGCCGCGGUAAUUC